rnacentral:rRNA from 1 species
GACGUAGGGCGCGAGCGUUGUCCGGAUUUAUUGGGCGUAAAGAGCUCGUAGGCGGCUUGUCGCGUCGACUGUGAAAACCCGCGGCUCAACCGUGUGGCGGGCAGUUGAUACGGGCAGGCUAGAGUUCGGUAGGGGAGACUGGAAUUCCUGGUGUAGCGGUGAAAUGCGCAGAUAUCAGGAGGAACACCGAUGGCGAAGGCAGCUCUCUGGGCCUGUUCUGACGCUGAGGAGCGAAAGCUGGGGGAGCGAACAGG